CUGAAUGCUGAUUAGCUGACAGCCGUGAUAUAUCAGACUGUAUAUGGGUAUGACAAAACAUUUGUUUUUACCAAUUACAUUGGUAACCAGUUUAUAAUGGCAAUAAGGCACCUCCGGGGUUCGUGGUAUAUUGCCAAUAUACCACGGCUAAGGGCUGUGUGCAGGCACCCCGCGUUGCAUCGUGCUUAAGAACAGCCCUUGGCCGUGGUAUAUUGGCCAUAUACCAAACCUCCUCGGGCCUUAUUGCGUAAAUAAAUAUAUGACCCCACAGACUAUUUUAGCUAGCCUGCUGCGCUUCCAGUAAGACUCACUCAAGGUCCGAAAUAACAUUGGCCCGUGUUUCCCGUGUGCAUUUGGUAUCUGCCUUGUACAAAGGCGUCAAGCAUAACACAAUAAUUGUUUUUCCCCUACAAAAACACGCUUCAGUACAAUCUGUCAAAUCAAAUUGUAUUUGUCACAUGCGCCGAAUACAACAGGUAUAGACUUACCGUGAAAUGCUUACUUACAAGCACUGUGCAGAGUGCAGUCUAGAUCAGUUAAAUGCAGAUAUUGUUUGUGUGAAAUGUUGUUUCAAAGUGUGAACUUUCAGGAUGCUUGACACUUUACAGUCCAGAACUUUUACUCUCUGGUCAAAACAUAUCCCAGAUGAUGGUCCUGCAUGCGUAGGUACACCAAAACAUAUCCCAGAUGAUGGUCCUGCAUGCGUAGGUACACCAAAACAUAUCCCAGAUGAUGGUCCUGCAUGCGUAGGUACACCAAAACAUAUCCCAGAUGAUGGUCCUGCAUGCGUAGGUACACCAAAACAUAUCCCAGAUGAUGGUCCUGCAUGCGUAGGUACACCAAAACAUAUCCCAGAUGAUGGUCCUGCGUGCGUAGGUACACCAAAACAUAUCCCAGAUGAUGGUCCUGCAUGCGUAGGUACACCAAAACAUAUCCCAGAUGAUGGUCCUGCAUGCGUAGGUACACCAAAACAUAUCCCAGAUGAUGGUCCUGCAUGCGUAGGUACACCAACACAUAUCCCAGAUGAUGGUCCUGCAUGCGUAGGUACACCAACACAUAUCCCAGAUGAUGGUCCUGCAUGCGUAGGUACACCAAAACAUAUCCCAGAUGAUGGUCCUGCAUGCGUAGGUACACCAAAACAUAUCCCAGAUGAUGGUCCUGCAUGCGUAGGUACACCAAAACAUAUCCCAGAUGAUGGUCCUGCAUGCGUAGGUACACCAACACAUAUCCCAGAUGAUGGUCCUGCAUGCGUAGGUACACCGCAAGUACAACUAUCUGGCCUUAAUGUAGCAUUUAGGUGCCCUAAUACUAGUUGACUUACUGAACCACUACAUGAUACCUGUAUGUAGUUGUUGCUCUUAGUAUAACUAUUGACCUAAUGUACUCUCUGAACAGUGUCGUAGAUGAAUGAAGACAAUAUUAUAACACAGAAAAACGGUUACAGGAACAGAGAAUCCCUUUUGACUUGAGGGGGGAACAAUUUUAGAAGUGCAGAUAUUUUGGUUAUAUAGACUAGAGAAUAUAGUUACAUCAGAUAUUGUCCCUCUGGCUAAACUGGGGAGAUUCUAACAGCUGUGUUAGGUUCUAAAGUUCCCCUUGCCACUUUUCAGUAUUACUUCUUUCUGGUUUCAAAACACCUUUAUUCUUUCUGCCUUGUACCCUGAGAAUGCCUUAUGUGUUUUGGUGCAUUCUCAAAAGUAGCUGUAGCUACCACUGUCUACCGACAGUCAGUCAGUCAGUCUGUCUGUCUGUCUUGUCUGUUGCAGUUGGAUUGAGACACAGGGAUAACAGAGAUCCAUCCAGAGGAGCCAUCUUGUGCAGUUGGUGCUCUGACAGAGCUGUCUUUGUUUUCCCGUGCUUCCGUAAUGAGAAGGUCUAGUUUGGUCUGUAGGAAGAGGCCUCCUACACGCUACUGUAAUGACAGAAGAGAAGAGCUCUACUUCUAGAUGUGCUUCAGGCCAGGGCCCUUAAUAGAAGGGGACAGAAAGAAAAAGACAAAUAAAGAAAAGGUCCUAGCAUGAAACAAUAUUGCUGUUAUAGUGUGCAGGCUUGUGGUGACCAUGUGAUUCUGUAAUGGUGUCGAGUCGGUUCCAGUUGGCAUGGUUACGCAGCCGAGUGGCACGGCAGAGGGGUGUGUUGAUGUCAAGUGGUUGAAGCACAUGCUCAGUGUGUCCCUGUCGACAGCAGGGCCAGACUCAUUCCUACGGUAUAACAUCCACCCUCCAUGUCUUCUACCACACCUUCUUCUCUCAGUCCUUCCCCAAAGGGUCCCAUUGAGUGUGUCACAGUGGGCCAGCGUGUCAAGGAGGGUAGAGAGGGAUACGACUCUCAUUCCUCUUCUUGAAAGCCAUAAUGUUUAACUACUUCCUGAUCUGUCGCUAUGUUUAGUCCUAGAGAGCUUUAAGUAGGAGCCUAAUGGUCGCCAUUUAUACCCUUGACCGAUCAGGUCCUUAUUUCCCUUAUGUCAUAACUGACCUUUUGAUCCCAAGUCUUCUGAUUGGUUGGCUCAGCAUACGUUGUAGAAUGCUCUGAGAGGAACAUCAUCACCCCGUCAACACAGUCUCAAAGAUAAGAUUGAGAAUGCCUAUUUCUGUAACUUAAUUUGGUCAUUCUUCUUCCCCCACUAAAGCUUUCCAUGCUUUUCUAUGCAACACAGUUGUGCCCUACUCAUGGAAGAUACGUCUCAUUGGUACAUAGUCGUGGACAAUGUGCUGUUGGCCUUCAUGGACCCCUCUCAUUAUGAUCAUAUGUUAAGCCAGCUGUAAAGUGUACUUGAUAUCCCAAGCACUUGUCUUGCUGAACAAAGCUCUUGAAGUAUUUGUCUUCCCAUUUCUAAAUGAUUGAAAGCCAUGCCCCAUAAAGGUCAUGUACCCUUGUGUUAUAUUUGUCAAGCGUUUCGAAGUACAUUCGGCAGCAUUUCUAGCCUGGUUCCAGAUCUGUUCAGGCUUGUUCUGACUCCAUUGCUGUCAUUGUCAAGCCAAACAUGUUUGGCAUGAUGAUGAGUGUAAAGGAGUUGGCAUGAUGAUGAGUGUAAAGGAGUUAGCAUGAUGCACAAACAGACUGGCAACAGCAACCCCACAAAGUAUGUACAUGACAUCAAUCCAACAGUCCCGGGACAUGAGAAAUGUCACUCCAAAUCAAUUCUCCCACCCAGAUAAGAACAACAUACUUUUUAUACAUUUAAUCUCUUGAAAUGAUGAACAAACAAUAAACUAACUACUAUUUGAGGACCUGUAGGGAAAAGAAAGAGAUGAAUUUAAUCAAUUCCUGUUUGACAGUGAGAGUCCUUGAUUUAAAGGAUUUAGAAUAUUCAGGGGUGGAAAUAUUUUUAGAUUAACGAGAUCUUAACAGAAGCUCAACGUAUUUACCUCUGAGAAGUUCUCACCCAAACCCCCCAAAAAUAGUGACCUAUACUUAUUGAAAAGGGUUGCGAUUUAUUAAUAAUGCAUUAUUAUUUUCCGGUUGUCUAGCUUUGGCUUACAAUAAUAUGGUAUGUAGAUUGAACAAAAAACUUGCCCUCGAAUUGACUGUACGGUCAACAGGAUAGCAUAUGGUCAUGUAGCAGCAAUACUCUUAUUGUGUAUUACAAAGUGCCUGCUUUUGUGACUUCAAUUCCCAUGGUCCUGAACAUUUGGUGUGAUCUCCAUCUCUUUGAUGAAACUAGGACCAUAUAGAUAGUUGGGUAUGUAGAUGAGUGAGUGUUCCUCCUGGAGGAAUGGAACAGUACGGGAGAGUAGGCCCAACUGUGUUUGCUGAAAGGAGAGAGUGAGUCUGCCUUGGGUUCAUAGGUAUAUCCCUUUCUGUAUCCCUCCGCCCCUCUACAGGGGUCAACACAGGGUUAUGCGUUAUACCCGCGCAGCCUAGCAGAUGUUAGAAUGCCAGUCACACUUAGUAUUUACUGUCACAGGCUCACUCUCAACACAUUCUGACUGGGAAGGGCAAACCUGUUUGUGUCUCUUUCUCACUACAGCAGCAUUCUCUGUAACACAGGCCAGGUUAGUGGAGCAGUACUAACCUGGCCUACAGUACUGUAUUUGAAAAAGCAGGCCAAGCUAUGCUUCCAGUGCUGACAGCUCGCAUGCUUUGAUGCUCGAUGCUCUCUGGUGUGCCUCCUCUUUCUUGUAAGCAGUCUUGAGGAGAUUUGUCUCUGUGUUGCCAUCUCUUUCUGACUUCCUAAAUCUCAGUUUUAAGGCUCUUUUUACUAGCUUUUUUUAAUUUAUGCAUUUUUAUUGUAUUUAUAUUUUAGAAACGCUGAAACUGUAGUUUCAUUGAUGAAAUGACAUUGUAAACAGCGGGAUGUGUUUCCCGCUCAUUACCAUCUGUUCAGUUAAUGUUCUUCAUUAUUUCAUCAGGGUGGUCUUAAACACGAACUGCUUCCCAAAUGGCACCCUAUGCCCUUUUAUAGUGUUCUACUUUUGACCAGAGCCUUAUGAGCCCAGAAGUUCCCAAAGUAGUGCACUAUAUAGGGAAUAGGGUGCCGUGUGGAACGCGGCAACUAUCACACCAGGCAGACAAUGGUCGUGUCCGAAAUCUGUUUUGCCUGCUACUUACUAAAAUGACAUACUGCGUACUAAUCAUUCUACAGUACAUACAUACUAUUUAGAAUGUACUGUGUAGUAAAAAUGUAUGCAGUUAGUGAACAACAAAUAUCUGAGAAUGCGUCAUGUAAUGCACAAUUGUUUGUUAGAGUCCGCCCCCUUUUUCUGAUUAUCUGCUGUUGUCAAAAACAUGUGGCUCUGAAAAGACAAUUCUCGUCUUCAAUAGCAUGCAGCUAUUCAUACUAGAUUAAAAGCCGAAAUGAAUACGACAUCCCUGCAUUUAAAGCAAACAACAUUUUCGAAAUGCCACAUACUAUAAAACGUUCUAUUUUUGCAUACCAAAUCAGCCUACUAUUUAGAACGCAAGUACAAAUAUUCGGACACAGCCAAUAUGUCUCCUGCUACCAGUAGAACCUCUACUGUAGAAGGAAUUCUGAAAUCUGUCUGGUGGUUCAUGGCCAGAUUUAGGAUAAUAGAAAAAAACGUCUGUCACUCAGAGUAAGUUAACCAGUUAUCUUAUAGGUGGGAAGGGUUCAGUUUGGGGUCCAUAAUCUUUCGCUUUGUUGUAGUCUAAUAUUACUGCUGUAAACGUACAACUCCAUAACACGAGUAUAUUCAAUAUGCAGUACUGUAUGACUUACUGUACUGUCCUGUUCAAGUCCUUCACCUCGCUAGCCAUCACAUUGACUGUACUGUAGAACUUAUUUUUCUCACCUAGGACAGGAAACUAAAAUGGAGAGAGUCUGCUUUGAGGAUCGGUUUCCUUGUGUGUUUGUGUUAGAUCUUCCUGCCAAUUCUGUUUUACUUCCAUGUUUGCUAUACUGCUAUUUAGUUUGUGCAAUACAAUAACGAUUGAAAACAUACUGUUGUACACAAUGCUAAUUAUUUAUAUGUAUAUGACAUACAAUAUCUAUAUCUGUGUGUAAUUGUCACGGAAUUCUUGAGCUUGUCAAAAAAAGAGAAAGCUCAAUCUGAAAUGCACUUUAAAUGAUUGUGUUGAGAGACUUGGAACAUGAAGGAAUGAACUUGAAAACGUAUUGAACUGCUUUCUGUUUAGAUCUGGCUCCUUUUUGCUGUGAUAUCUGAGGCUACGGAGUGGCUGAGCGCUCAAAUAAAGACUGCACCAAAUCUA